AGAGUUUGAUCCUGGCUCAGAACGAACGUUAGCGGCACGCCUAACACAUGCAAGUCGCACGAGAAAGGGCUUCGGCCCCGGUACAGUGGCGCACGGGUGAGUAACACGUGGGUAAUCUACCUUCGGAUGGGGGAUAACACUUCGAAAGGGGUGCUAAUACCGCAUAAGCUCACGACCUCUUCGGGGGUUGGGAGAAAAGCAGGCCUCUUCAUGAAAGCUUGUGUCUGAAGAUGAGCCCGCGGCCCAUCAGUUAGUUGGCAGGGUAAUGGCCUACCAAGACGAAGACGGGUAGCUGGUCUGAGAGGAUGAUCAGCCACACUGGAACUGAGACACGGUCCAGACUCCUACGGGAGGCAGCAGUGGGGAAUCUUGCGCAAUGGGCGAAAGCCUGACGCAGCGAUGCCGCGUGAGUGAUGAAGGCCUUCGGGUUGUAAAGCUCUGUGGGGAGAGAAGAAUAAGUCGUCGUGAAUAACGCCGAUGAUGACGGUAUCUCCUUAGCAAGCACCGGCUAACUCUGUGCCAGCAGCCGCGGUAAGACAGAGGGUGCAAACGUUGUUCGGAAUUACUGGGCGUAAAGCGAGUGUAGGCGGUGAGAUAAGUCGGACGUGAAAGCCCGGGGCUCAACCUCGGAAGUGCGCUCGAUACUGUCUCGCUUGAGUGUCGGAGAGGUUGGUGGAAUUCUGGGUGUAGAGGUGAAAUUCGUAGAUAUCCAGAGGAACACCGGUGGCGAAGGCGGCCAACUGGACGACUACUGACGCUGAGACUCGAAAGUGUGGGGAGCAAACAGGAUUAGAUACCCUGGUAGUCCACACCGUAAACGAUGGGUGCUAGGUGCUGCAGGCUUUGACUCCUGCGGUGCCGUAGCUAACGCAUUAAGCACCCCGCCUGGGAAGUACGGUCGCAAGACUAAAACUCAAAGGAAUUGACGGGGGCCCGCACAAGCGGUGGAGCAUGUGGUUUAA
rnacentral:rRNA from 1 species